rnacentral:lncRNA from 1 species
GAGCACUCCAUUCUUGUUGAGACAGAGAACUGACUUGAGCGUCGGAGGGUCUUGCUGGAGCACCUCCAACUCUGGUUUAGACUUCCUUUGCAAGUCCCGACGGUGACCGUGACUCCCUUGACUCCAGCUUCUCCGAUGCUGGCAGAUUUUUGCACCAAUAGGAUUGGCGCUAGAGGAAAGGGCCUGCUGUCUUCGCAGUACCCUUAUUCUUAAAGGAGCACUCAAUGGGACCGCCUUCGGUCAUCUUCUCCGACAUCCUCUUCUCCUUCCUCUAUUGGAUCUUCGCCCGAUGCCUCCCCGCAAAGCAUCCACCCGAUGAUCCAUGGCCUCCGUGACCAG